UGCGUAGGCGGUUUUGGUAAGUCAGAUGUGAAAUUCCUGGGCUCAACCGAGGAACUGCAUUUGAUACUGCCAGACUAGAGUACUGGAGAGGAGACUGGAAUUUACAGUGUAGCAGUGAAAUGCGUAGAUAUCGUAAGGAAGGCCAGUGGCGAAGGCGAGUCUCUGGACAGUAACUGACGCUGAGGCACGAAGGCUAGGGGAGCAAACG
rnacentral:rRNA from 1 species